CUUGCCCUGACUUCCAGAUUGUUCAUCUUCAAGUUACUAAGUUUUCAAGAGCACAGCAGCUGUUGCAGGAAGGAGAAAGAUACAGCAUAUCUUGAAUUACAGAGGUGUGGGAAAUUACUAACCAGAAACCUAAACUUAAGGAAGCAUGGAUUGCUGCCCCAAGCAGUUCCCCUGGAUUGCAGCCUACAUCAGAUACAACUUGGAGUGAAAUCCUGGAAAGAGAAUACUCUAGCCCCAACAUGAGAAGGACCCUUCCCAGUACUCCUGACAAUGGAAGCAGACAUAAAGAACCUUGUCAUUAGGGUAAAAGGGCCAGGGGCUCCACCUCCCUGAAAAUGGUCUGUGAAACCAAGGGGUGAUUCUUUGAAGUUAAUAUUUAGGCAAUAAGUUGGGAUAAGUCAAUGGCUGGCAAGAUCAAUUACACAAAACUAUUAGGAAAUUCACAAAGAGAGUCAUGAGUGGCAUUGACUGUUUGCAAAAUCUGCAAAGACUGUAAAACUAAAUACCAGCAAAGGAGACUGGUGGUACUGUAGAGUGUGUUGGAAGUGGCAACCUUCUGACAACCUCAAAGGUGAUUUCAGCUAUAUGAUAUGCACUAAGCCAAGGGCAAGACUGGAUUAGCUUCUACAUUUGCCACCAAGAGAAUUUAACUCUGCUGUUGGCUGCAAUCCAAUAGGUGUUGAGUGACAGAAAUAUAUGCUAUACCAUACUUUGGCUUAUGAUGACCACCUGGACUCUGCUACUUUGGGUUGUGCUCACCUCCAGCUAUAUCCCAACUUCUCCGAAUAAGGGUUCUAAAUGCUAUCUACAUGUUAGAGGGGUUUCCAGUUUUAGCUGUCACACUUACAUAUAUAGCCAGCGCUACAGAUCAGAAAGUUUAACCACUUGUAACUUUGGGCAAAUCGAAUUGUGGGUGGGAAGAAAUUUGGGAAAAGGAGGAACAAGAUUUGGAAUAGGGUGCCCUAAAGGAGAAGAGUGCAUGUGUUUUACCAAGGAAGGACACUGGGACAUGUUGGGUGGUGUGGGAA